rnacentral:rRNA from 1 species
AACGAACGCUGGCGGCAGGCUUAACACAUGCAAGUCGAACGGGUGUAGCAAUACAUCAGUGGCAGACGGGUGAGUAACACGUGGGAACCUUCCUAGGGGUACGGAACAACUCAGGGAAACUUGAGCUAAUACCGUAUACGUCCGUGAGGAGAAAGAUUUAUCGCCCUUAGACGGGCCCGCGUCGGAUUAGCUAGUUGGUGGGGUAACGGCCUACCAAGGCGACGAUCCGUAGCUGAUCUUAGAGGAUGAUCAGCCACACUGGGACUGAGACACGGCCCAGACUCCUACGGGAGGCAGCAGUGGGGAAUCUUGGACAAUGGGCGCAAGCCUGAUCCAGCCAUGCCGCGUGAGUGAAGAAGGUCUUCGGAUUGUAAAGCUCUUUUGCCAGGGACGAUAAUGACGGUACCUGGAGAAUAAGCCCCGGCAAACUUCGUGCCAGCCGCCGCCGCAGUAA